rnacentral:misc_RNA from 1 species
GAUGAAGAACGUAGCGAAAUGCGAUAAGUAAUGUGAAUUGCAGAAUUCAGUGAAUCAUCGAAUCUUAGAACGCACCUUGCGCCCUUUGGACAUUCCGAAGGGCAUGCCUGUUUGAGUAUCAUGAACACCUCAACUCUCACGGCUUGUCCGUGAUGAGCUUGGACUUUGGGGGUCUUGCCGGCCUGUGGUCGGCUCCUCUCAAAUGGAUCAGCUUGCCAGUGUUUGGUGGCAUCACAGGUGUGAUAACUAUCUGCGCUUGUGGUUUUCCAUCAGAUAACCUUCAGUGAUAUGGAGGUUCGCUGGAGCUCACAAAUGUCUCUCCUUAGUGAGGACAGCUCUUUGAACGUUUGAUCUCAAAUCAGGUAGGACUACCCGCUGAACUUAAGCAUAUCAAUAAGCGGAGGA